AGUGAACGCUGGCGGUAGGCCUAACACAUGCAAGUCGAACGGCAGCACAGUAAGAGCUUGCUCUUACGGGUGGCGAGUGGCGGACGGGUGAGGAAUACAGCGGAAUCUACUUUUUCGUGGGGGAUAACGUAGGGAAACUUACGCUAAUACCGCAUACGACCUACGGGUGAAAGCAGGGGAUCUUCGGACCUUGCGCGAUUGAAUGAGCCGAUGUCGGAUUAGCUAGUUGGCGGGGUAAAGGCCCACCAAGGCGACGAUCCGUAGCUGGUCUGAGAGGAUGAUCAGCCACACUGGAACUGAGACACGGUCCAGACUCCUACGGGAGGCAGCAGUGGGGAAUAUUGGACAAUGGGCGCAAUCCUGAUCCAGCCAUACCGCGUGGGUGAAGAAGGCCUUCGGGUUGUAAAGCCCUUUUGUUGGGAAAGAAAAGCAGCAGGUUAAUACCCCGCUGUUCUGACGGUACCCAAAGAAUAAGCACCGGCUAACUUCGUG
rnacentral:rRNA from 1 species